GUUACCAAGAGGCUUUUGAAAAUUACACCCUUUAGGAUGCUUAAGUUUACCUUGUUCAACCAGGGUUCUAGACAUAGUGCAAAUUAAAGACACUCAACUUUGUUUACAAGUAAUUAAAUGUGUAAAAACGCUGCGUGCCUACGACCACUGCUGCUUCCUCCCUGGGCUGGCUCCAUCUUAGCCUGGGGCACGCUCAGUUUCCCCAGCUGCGAGCUUGGCCCAUAGCCCGGCCUGUGGGCCUGCAGCCACUAGGGCCCUCCCUGCAGCAGGGCUGAGAGCAGAGGAAGCUCCAGCCUCCUGCAUUGUGCGCCGGCCCCUCCUCCCCCUCCGCCAGUCUAGAAGCCUGUCCUCCCGGCCGGUGGCCGGCGCCAAGGCUGCGAUCCCGGGUGCCGUGCAGUUCACACGGAAAGGUAAAGAAAAAAGUCCUGAUUACAUUCAGUGCCAAGCAUCUUCAACUCCUGUGGAAGUCAAUGAGGGUUUGGGUGCUGAGCACCUUGCAGAAUCCGGUCCACAGAGUUAGUUUUACUGGUUUAAGGUGGAAUACUCAUUUUGCUCAUAUCACUUGGAUGUCAAAUUUUAUGAUUAGUACUUCAGCAAUCAAGAACUGAGAUGUGAGUGACCAAACCCAAAGAUACAAUACAAUUAUUUACACACGCAAAAAUGGAGGCUUGGUAAAGACUGGGCUAAAAAUGUUACUCUCUCGAGUAAUGACAUGGAUGUCCACUGGUAUGCAGCAUGUUGUAGAGGUUUGCCAGUGACUCCAAAUGGGGAGGAGGCAGAGUAGAUACAGAGGGUCUUGACAAUGGCUACAUGGGCUGUGAGGUGCAAUUUAACUUAGGGAAAUGUAAAAUAAUGAGGUUAAGACUGAAAAAUGGCAAAGAAAUUUUUCUGUAAAUGAUUAGCAUCUUGCAGAAUGUAAUCUGCAAAGAUUACUCCUGGGGGAAUUCUGCGUGACUGCGCACCCACAGAAAAUGGCCCCAUGCAGAUUUCCUGUGUUUCCCUGCAGAAAAUGGCAGGGAAGUAAAGGGAAGCUGUGCGAGGGGCAACCAUAGGUGCAGUUUUUUGUGGGGGAUUGCCCCCCUCCAAACAGAGGCAAGGCAUGGGGGGGCACAUGGGGUUACAUGCCACUGCCCCCAGAUCUCACACUGAGCUGCCUGCACCCAGAUUGCCCCACACAGAAACCUCUCACUUCACACCUGGAUCCCCCCACACUUGCAUCCUGCUGGGCUGAGCCUGCUCACCCACACCUGGUGCACCUGGCGCAAAGGGGCAGGGCCCUGGGGUAUUUCUGGGCAGGCCCAGACCUUGCACUGUCAGGGUCAGGUGCAGCCUCACUGCCGAGUCCCUGUACUGGGGGAGGUGGGGGCUUCAGGGUCAUCUCCCACUACAAUGCAGCCAAUGGCCCGGGGUCCCCACUGCCAUGCUGGAGCCACAUUUAUUUAUUGACAAAUAAAAUUUGCAUAAUUUUAAAAUACUGUGUGUAUAAUUUUUAAUUUUUUGGUGCAGAAUUUUAAUUUUUUUGGUGCAGAAUUCCCUCAGGAGUAAAAGAUCCAUGGACGAGGAAGGCCAGCAAUUUGCAUCUGUCAGCUCAAUGUCUGGAGUUAGAAUAGCUGGUGAGAUAAAUUAAGCUUGUUUGGAGGGAGUUAUUGAACUGUUUUUGUCAAGUAAUGUUUUUAUUAUUAUUUUGUAUAGGCAUUCAGAUGCUUCAAUGAGUGCAUUUUUAUACAUCUAAAAAUAAGUGCAUAUCUUUUGCCAAAUUUCCCUUUUUUCAUCUUGAAGUAAUUUGAGUUAUUCAUGCACAGAAAAAUCUAAAACUGGCAAGCAUGCAGUAUGUGCCUGUAUAUCUUAUAUAUGUAUGUAUUUAGAUUUAUAAAAUAUGUAUUUCACUAGAACUUGGGACAUAUGAAUACAAUUUAAUAAACACAUAUUGUCAUACAUUUCUAUGCUUUGAGGGAUCAGGAUGUAUAUCAUUCCUUUCAAGAAACCAAUUCCCCAUUAGCCACUUGUUCUCACCCCUCAUAAAAAAAUCCCUAAAGAAGAGAUGUCCUUUUACUGAGCCCUGAAGGCUAGUAAAUUUGGGCUCUGUUGCACCAGCAGGGAGAGCUAAUUUCAGAGCAGAGGAACCCACCAGCCGCUUCAUGUUUAAAUCUGGGGAUUUUAGCUUGAUACGUCAGCUGAUGUCAACUGCUGUGGUGGAGUACAGGGUGAGGGCUAGUCACUCAGAUAGCUGGGACCAAACCAUCUCAUGCUUUAUAGACCAAAGUCAGUAACUUGAAUUGCAUCUUGGAGUGAGCAGAUAGUACAGUUUUGGAGAAUUUCUGAAGAACAGUUAUCACAUCUUCCCAUCAGCUAGCAUUGUCAAACAGGCAACUGUACUCUGCAUCAGCUGUAGCCCCAUGUACAGUAGUAGAGCUGUCUGCCUGUUGAAAUAAUCUAGUCUUAAAGUGACAGAGGCAUGGCUUACUACUUCCAGGUUCAGAUCCAGUAGAAAAGGAUAUGAGCAUUUCCGAGGCUAAGGAGUAUUUCCACUGAUGUCACUUGUGAUUUUAGAAGCAACAGAGGAUCCAAGAGCACCCCUAAAUUGUGAAACACUUGUGCAAAGGAUGGAAAAUCACCUCAAUAACAGAGGCAAGAGCUACCUUGCUUAUACCACUGAGUAUGCUAGCAUCUCUUUUGUCUUAUCCUGAGUUUGUGAACUUGCUCUCCUCCCAGUUCCACUCUUAGGUAAGCACUGAGUAGACAUGGAAAUGGUAGCAAGAGGGCCUGAUGAAAAUGAAACACAAAUCUAAGUGUCAUCCAUGUUUUGGAUGCAGCCUAAAUCACCUUCCAAUCCUACACCCAGCUUUAUGCAUGUGUUGAAUGACAGUGGUGAUACCAUGGAGCCUUACAGAACCCCAUAUGAUAAAUACCUCUGGAAGAUGAGCAACUACACGAAAAUAAUAAGUUGAGACUGCUUAGAUAGAAAAGUGCCGAACCACUACUGAGCAAUAUCACACAGUUGAGCCAGGCUGCACAUGUGAGUCAGCAAAAUCUGAUGGUCAAUACUAGAGGCUCCUUACACAUCUCAGAGAAUCACAUACACCAGACAGAUGUCCAUGAUUAGGAGAUCAGCAACCCAUGAGACAAGCAUAGUACCUGGUUCUUAGUCUUUCUAUUUUAGGUUUUUUUAUAGUACCAAAGAAACUAAGCGGUUUCAUAGAAUCAUAGAAUAU